ensembl:snRNA U1 U1 spliceosomal RNA
AUACUUAACAGGGGAGAUACCAUGAUCACGAAGGUGGUUUUCUCAGGGCGAGGCUUAUCCAUUGCACUCUGGAUGUGCUGACCCCUGCGAUUUUCCCAAAUAAAGAAAAAAAAAACAAAAC